CGAGGAGGGAAGAUAACAACAAGCAUCCCGAGAGAGGAGUACGCAGUCCUUUUAUUGUCCCCGUCCCCACGACUUCUCCGAAAAGUCUGCCCAUUUCCACGGAGCUCACUGUAAUAUGUGCCUCCCUGUGGUCCUCCAUGCUCACAUGCCCAUGUGUUCACAGUGGUCGUGCUGGUGGGGGGGUCGACCUGUGAUGCCUUCAGCCUCUGCACGUCUUCCUCGCCGUGAUUUCCUCUUCACCCGGCUCGUGCGCAGGUGCAGCUUGGUGGGCACUGCCAAGGCUGCUGUUGUUCUAGCUUCGGGUGGAAGUUGUGGUUUUGUCGGGGACUAUUCGUCUCAUCCAAAGCGUCCUCCUUCACAGUAACAGGAUGCUGAGGCCAAGAAGUGGUAGUCGUGAAGCAGCAAUGUUGAGAUAAAGUCCAGACU